UAGACUCUUGAAGGAAUGAUUUUACCUUCAAAUACCCAAGCAUUUCUUGCUAAUCAGAUUUGCCAUAAGAGAGCUUGAAUCUGCUACGACAGAUUUGAACAUUUCCAAGCUUCAGUCACAUCUGGGCACUCCCAGAAACAAUGAAAAAACGCUUUCUUGUGACCGAUUGCAUUUUGGGCACCAGGAUUCGAUAGAUUGUAUUCGAGCAUUCAACCUUUCUUUCACAGGGAGUCCUCUGUG